AGUGAACGCUGGCGGUAGGCCUAACACAUGCAAGUCGAACGGCAGCACAGAGGAGCUUGCUCCUUGGGUGGCGAGUGGCGGACGGGUGAGGAAUACAUCGGAAUCUACUCUGUCGUGGGGGAUAACGUAGGGAAACUUACGCUAAUACCGCAUACGACCUACGGGUGAAAGCAGGGGACCUUCGGGCCUUGCGCGAUUGAAUGAGCCGAUGUCGGAUUAGCUAGUUGGCGGGGUAAAGGCACACCAAGGCGACGAUCCGUAGCUGGUCUGAGAGGAUGAUCAGCCACACUGGAACUGAGACACGGGCCAGAGUCCUACGGGAGGCAGCAGUGGGGAAUAUUGGACAAUGGGCGCAAGCCUGAUCCAGCCAUACCGCGUGGGUGAAGAAGGCCUUCGGGUUGUAAAGCCCUUUUGUUGGGAAAGAAAUCCAGCUGGCUAAUACCCGGUUGGGAUGACGGUACCCAAAGAAUAAGCACCGGCUAACUUCGUGCCAGCCACCGCCGUAA
rnacentral:rRNA from 1 species